rnacentral:tRNA from 1 species
GCGAAAGUGGCGGAAUUGGUAGACGCGCUAGCUUCAGGUGCUAGUACCGUAAAGGCGUAAGGGUUCGAGUCCCUUCUUUCGCACCA